rnacentral:rRNA from 1 species
UACAGAGGUCUCAAGCGUUGUUCGGAUUCAUUGGGCGUAAAGGGUGCGUAGGUGGCGCGCUAAGUCAGGUGUGAAAUCUCGGAGCUUAACUCCGAAACUGCAUUUGAUACUGGCGUGCUUGAGGACUGGAGAGGAGACUGGAAUUCACGGUGUAGCAGUGAAAUGCGUAGAUAUCGUGAGGAAGACCAGUGGCGAAGGCGGGUCUCUGGACAGUUCCUGACACUGAGGCACGAAGGCCAGGGGAGCGAAACCAGGGG